rnacentral:rRNA from 1 species
GGGCCCGCACAAGCAGCGGAGCGUGUGGUUUAAUUCGAUGCUACACGAAGAACCUUACCAGGGUUUGACAUGCAAGUGGUAGGAACCGAAAGGCGACCGACCCUUCGGGGAGCUUGCACAGGUGCUGCAUGGCUGUCGUCAGCUCGUGUCGUGAGAUGUUCGGUUAAGUCCGCUAACGAGCGCAACCCUCGCUGUGUGUUACAAGUGUCACACGGUACUGCCGGUCUUAAGCCGGAGGAAGGUGGGGAUGACGUCAAGUCAGCAUGGCCUUUAUGUCCUGGGCUACACACACGCUACAAUGGCCAACACAAUAGGUUGCUAAGCCGCAAGGUGGAGCCAAUCCUCAAAGUUGGUCUCAGCUCAGAUUGCAGGCUGCAACCCGCCUGCAUGAAGAUGGAGUUGCUAGUAACCGCAGGUCAGCUAUACUGCGGUGAAUACGUUCCCGGGGCUU